GUUUCCUGAGGAAGGCUCGUCCGCUCAGGGUUAGUCGGGACCUAAGCCGAGGCCGAAAGGCGUAGGCGAUGGACAACAGGUUGAUAUUCCUGUACCACCUCCUCACCAUUUGAGCAAUGGGGGGACGCAGGAGGAUAGGGUAAGCGCGGUAUUGGAUAUCCGCGUCCAAGCAGUUAGGCUGGGAAAUAGGCAAAUCCGUUUCCCAUAAGGCUGAGCUGUGAUGGCGAGCGAAAUAUAGUAGCGAAGUUCCUGAUUCCACACUGCCAAGAAAAGCCUCUAGCGAGGUGAGAGGUGCCCGUACCGCAAACCGACACAGGUAGGCGAGGAGAGAAUCCUAAGGUGAUCGAGAGAACUCUCGUUAAGGAACUCGGCAAAAUGACCCCGUAACUUCGGGAGAAGGGGUGCUCUGUUAGGGUGCAAGCCCGAGAGAGCCGCAGUGAAUAGGCCCAGGCGACUGUUUAGCAAAAACACAGGUCUCUGCGAAGCCGUAAGGCGAAGUAUAGGGGCUGACGCCUGCCCGGUGCUGGAAGGUUAAGAGGAGCGCUUAGCGUAAGCGAAGGUGCGAAUUGAAGCCCCAGUAAACGGCGGCCGUAACAAUAACGGUCCUAAGGUAGCGAAAUUCCUUGUCGGGUAAGUUCCGACCCGCACGAAAGGCGCAACGAUCUGGGCACUGUCUCAACGAGAGACUCGGUGAAAUUAUAGUACCUGUGAAGAUGCAGGUUACCCGCGACAGGACGGAAAGACCCCGUGGAGCUUUACUGCAGCCUGAUAUUGAAUGUUGGUACAGCUUGUACAGGAUAGGUAGGAGCCUUGGAAACCGGAGCGCCAGCUUCGGUGGAGGCAUCGGUGGGAUACUACCCUGGCUGUAUUGACCUUCUAACCCGCCGCCCUUAUCGGGCGGGGAGACAGUGUCAGGUGGGCAGUUUGACUGGGGCGGUCGCCUCCUAAAAGGUAACGGAGGCGCCCAAAGGUUCCCUCAGAAUGGUUGGAAAUCAUUCGUAGAGUGUAAAGGCACAAGGGAGCUUGACUGCGAGACCUACAAGUCGAGCAGGGACGAAAGUCGGGCUUAGUGAUCCGGUAGUUCCGCAUGGAAGGGCCAUCGCUCAACGGAUAAAAGCUACCCCGGGGAUAACAGGCUUAUCUCCCCCAAGAGUCCACAUCGACGGGGAGGUUUGGCACCUCGAUGUCGGCCCAUCGCAUCCUGGGGCUGUAGUCGGUCCCAAGGGUUGGGCUGUUCGCCCAUUAAAGCGGUACGCGAGCUGGGUUCAGAACGUCGUGAGACAGUUCGGUCCCUAUCCGUCGCGGGCGCAGGAAAUUUGAGAGGAGCUGUCCUUAGUACGAGAGGACCGGGAUGGACGCACCGCUGGUGUACCAGUUGUUCUGCCAAGGGCAUCGCUGGGUAGCUAUGUGCGGACGGGAUAAGUGCUGAAAGCAUCUAAGCAUGAAGCCCCCCUCAAGAUGAGAUUUCCCAUUCCGCAAGGAAGUAAGAUCCCUGAAAGAUGAUCAGGUUGAUAGGUCUGAGGUGGAAGUGUGGCGACACAUGGAGCUGACAGAUACUAAUCGAUCGAGGACUUAACCU
rnacentral:rRNA from 1 species